rnacentral:rRNA from 1 species
GACGAACGCUGGCGGCGUGCUUAACACAUGCAAGUCGAACGGAAAGGCCCUGCUUGCAGGGUGCUCGAGUGGCGAACGGGUGAGUAACACGUGGGUGAUCUGCCCCUUACUUUGGGAUAAGCCUGGGAAACUGGGUCUAAUACUGGAUAGGACCAUGCUGUAGGUGGUGUGGUGGAAAGAUUAUUUUCGGUAAGGGAUGAGCUCGCGGCCUAUCAGCUUGUUGGUGGGGUAAUGGCCUACCAAGGCGUCGACGGGUAGCCGGCCUGAGAGGGUGGACGGCGACAUUGGGACUGUGAGACGGCGCAGAGUCCUACGGGGGGCAGAAGUGGGGAAUAUUGCACAAUGGGGGUAAGCCUGAUGUAGCGACGCGGCGUGGGGGAUGACGGCCUUCGGGUUGUGAACUCCUUUCAGCCAUGACGAAGCGCUUGUGGUGACGGUAGUGGUAGAAGAAGCACCGGCUAACUACGUG